AUCAUUACAGAGUUGCAAAACUCCCUAAACCAUUGUGAACGUUACCUAUACCGUUGCUUCGGCGGGCGGCCCCGGGGUUUACCCCCCGGGCGCCCCUGGGCCCCACCGCGGGCGCCCGCCGGAGGUCACCAAACUCUUGAUAAUUUAUGGCCUCUCUGAGUCUUCUGUACUGAAUAAGUCAAAACUUUCAACAACGGAUCUCUUGGUUCUGGCAUCGAUGAAGAACGCAGCGAAAUGCGAUAAGUAAUGUGAAUUGCAGAAUUCAGUGAAUCAUCGAAUCUUUGAACGCACAUUGCGCCCGCCAGCAUUCUGGCGGGCAUGCCUGUUCGAGCGUCAUUUCAACCAUCAAGCCCCCGGGCUUGUGUUGGGGACCUGCGGCUGCCGCAGGCCCUGAAAAGCAGUGGCGGGCUCGCUGUCGCACCGAGCGUAGUAGCAUACAUCUCGCUCUGGUCGCGCCGCGGGUUCCGGCCGUUAAACCACCCUUUUAACCCAAGGUUGACCUCGGAUCAGGUAGGAAGACCCGCUGAACUUAAGCAUAUCAAUAAGCGGAGGA
rnacentral:rRNA from 1 species